GUUUGCUUCAGCAGUACAUAUGCUAAAAUGGGAAUGAUACAGAGAAGAUUAGCAUUGGCCCCUGUGCAAGGAUGACAUGCAAAUUAGUGAAGUGUUCCAUAUUUUA
rnacentral:snRNA from 2 species